rnacentral:rRNA from 1 species
AGAGUUUGAUCAUGGCUCAGAUUGAACGCUGGCGGCAUGCCUUACACAUGCAAGUCGAACGCGAAAGUAGGGGCAACCCUGCGAGUAGAGUGGCGAACGGGUGAGUAAUACAUCGGAACGUACCCAGGAGUGGGGGACAACCUCGAGAAAUCGAGGCUAAUACCGCAUACGUCCUGAGGGAGAAAGCGGGGGAUCUGCAAGGACCUCGCGCUCAUGGAGCGGCCGAUGUCGGAUUAGCUAGUUGGCGGGGUAAAGGCCCACCAAGGCUACGAUCCGUAGCUGGUUUGAGAGAACGACCAGCCACACUGGGACUGAGACACGGCCCAGACUCCUACGGGAGGCAGCAGUGGGGAAUUUUGGACAAUGGGCGCAAGCCUGAUCCAGCCAUGCCGCGUGAGUGAAGAAGGCCUUCGGGUUGUAAAGCUCUUUCGGCCGGAACGAAAUCGCGUACGUGAAUAACGUGCGUGGAUGACGGUACUGGAAGAAGAAGCACCGGCUAACUACGUGCCAGCAGCCGCGGUAAUACGUAGGGUGCGAGCGUUAAUCGGAAUUACUGGGCGUAAAGCGUGCGUAGGCGGUUUUGUAAGUCAGAUGUGAAAUCCCCGGGCUUAACCUGGGAACUGCGUUUGAAACUACAGAGCUAGAGUACGGCAGAGGGGGGUGGAAUUCCCGUGUAGCAGUGAAAUGCGUAGAUAUGUGGAGGAACACCGAUGGCGAAGGCAACCCCCUGGGCCGAUACUGACGCUGAGGCACGAAAGCGUGGGGAGCAAACAGGAUUAGAUACCCUAGUAGUCC